rnacentral:rRNA from 1 species
UGGUGGGUAGUUUGACUGGGGCGGUCUCCUCCUAAAGAGUAACGGAGGAGCACGAAGGUUGGCUAAUCCUGGUCGGACAUCAGGAGGUUAGUGCAAUGGCAUAAGCCAGCUUGACUGCGAGCGUGACGGCGCGAGCAGGUGCGAAAGCAGGUCAUAGUGAUCCGGUGGUUCUGAAUGGAAGGGCCAUCGCUCAACGGAUAAAAGGUACUCCGGGGAUAACAGGCUGAUACCGCCCAAGAGUUCAUAUCGACGGCGGUGUUUGGCACCUCGAUGUCGGCUCAUCACAUCCUGGGGCUGAAGUAGGUCCCAAGGGUAUGGCUGUUCGCCAUUUAAAGUGGUACGCGAGCUGGGUUUAGAACGUCGUGAGACAGUUCGGUCCCUAUCUGCCGUGGGCGCUGGAGAACUGAGGGGGGCUGCUCCUAGUACGAGAGGACCGGAGUGGACGCAUCACUGGUGUUCGGGUUGUCAUGCCAAUGGCACUGCCCGGUAGCUAAAUGCGGAAGAGAUAAGUGCUGAAAGCAUCUAAGCACGAAACUUGCCCCGAGAUGAGUUCUCCCUGACUCCCUGAGAGUCCUGAAGGAACGUUGAAGACGACGACGUUGAUAGGCCGGGUGUGUAAGCGCAGCGAUGCGUUGAGCUAACCGGUACUAAUGAACCGUGAGGCUUAACCUUACAAC